GCCAAAAUAGCUCAGUUGGGAGAGAUUUAUUCUGAAGAUUUAAAGGUCCCUGGUUUGAUCCCUUGUUUCGGCA
rnacentral:tRNA from 1 species